ACUCGCUUAUGAGUUAAGUCGUGUUAUUGAGAUGAAUUGAGCAAGACCAAGAAGGAUAACUCGUAGGCAUUCCUAUUAGUUUCGCUUCGGUAAAUGUCGUCACUUUCCGCAACCCUGGUUGCCACGAAGCAUGCGCAAAACCUCCUUCCUUUUGGAAAAUUCUAGAACAACGUAGAACAAGCAAUUCGGAAGACCAGCUACUCAAUCCAAUAUCAUAUCCUUUUUAUUCUGUACAUCAGUGCAGAUUUUGGCUAAGUAAUUUUACGUUCAAUUGCGGAAAUGCUGCGCGCUAAAUCAAAACGGAAGACGGCAUCACCAUAUGCACACCAAGGGACUAGAACAAAGAGGACCUACCAACAGAUAACUACAAGUACCACACAGGAUCCAAGCGCAUCCUAUCCUUCCCAUACAAUGGCCUCCGGAUCAACUGCCACAAUGGUCUCCAGUUCUGCUGCGAGGUCUACUCCUGAGACAUUCAGUACAUCAGGUGCUGCUUCUCUUGCAACAAACGUGGCAAUAUCUGUCUCACCCUUAGACAAUCCAAUUCCUCUCAUCAGUGUGUCAGAUGAGUUGGGACUUCACGUGCCCCAAACAAUUAAAGACAAAAUAUGGGGGAAAGAGUAUAUAGAACUAGCAAAGGUUUUAGAGUCCGAGUUAGACUCGGAGAGGGGUCAAAAAUUUUCUAUUGUCGAAGGACAAUUAGUUAUGCAACCAAAGAGUAAUACUUAAAAAAUUACGUCGAUUGAUUCGUGGACCGACGCCUUCCUAGUUUUUGUGAGUAUAUACCUGUCAAGACACCCUGCAGACAUACAGGGCAUUCUAAAAUAUGUAUAAACCAUUCGCCUUGGAGCUAGUCGUAACCCAACCUGUGCAUGGUUGGAAUACGACAAACAGUUCAGAUUAAAAAUCUCAAAAAAACACGUUUAUAGCGUGGGGGUCAAUCGAUGCAGAAUUGUGGUUACUUUAUAUGUCAAACCACCAAAUCUCACAACCAACUCAGUCGACACCCAAAUGCUAUGACUAUAAUUAUAAGGGCUCGUGUGCAAAAAAUCCUUGCUUAUAUCAGCAUGUGUGCAUGUACUGUCACAAAAAUCAUCCACGCAUACACUGCUGGUCAAAUCAAACCAUAGCAUCAUCUAACUAGCUACACUAUUUGCAUCUGCAUUUGAAUUGGCAAUUUUUGGGUUACUUAGAGUUAGUGAAUUGACAGUUUCUAGCAAGAAGGCAACAGUGCUAUCAUUUCGUGAUGUCAGAGUAUCCAAUUCUGAAAUUCAGUUGCUCUUAAAGGGUUCCAAAACGCAUCAACUGUGCAAAGGUGCAACAAUACAAAUUGCAUUCAGUAGUGAAACAUCUCCCUUAUUUAAUCACAUGCACCAAUAUUUCUCUGUAAGGCCCCAUGAUGAAGGUCCGUUUUUCUGCCAUCUCAAUGGUAACCUCUUACUUCAUAUCAGUUUACUGCAAUUCUACACAAAUCAAUCAAAUUUAUUGGGCUCGACACUUCGACUUUUAAAUCACAUUCGUUCAGAAUAGGUGGGGCUACUCAUUUGUACCUAACGGGGGUUCCUGAAGAAGACAUUAAGAUCAAAGGUAGAUGGAAAUCAAACGCAAUGUAUUCUUACAUACGGAUAUAAUUGUUGUUUGUAUAAUGCACCUAGCGACGUCAAAAUACUUUAUGCUAACAAGUAUACAAAGUUUGCAGGUGCAAAUAUCAAAGUAUGGAUAAUUGCAUCAUCCUUAAUUCAUUACGCACAUCAUCAUGCUUUCAUCAUUUAUGCGGACCAGCACUUGCAUCUACAGGCCCACAACAUCUCAUUAAAAUGGCUUGGUAAGAGAGGCAUGAUUUGGGAGGACGUGGAGCCCAAGUUACGUGAACUCAUUGGUCAGUUUGGAUAUCCCAAUGUUUUAAUGUUACAUUGUGGGGGGAAUAGCAUUGGUACUAGUGAUGGACAAUCGGACCAAAAACCAUAAUCGAUUAUCGACAAUAAUCGGACACAAGUAAUCGAUUAAUAAUCGAUUAUAAUCGGAAUUGGCAUUUAAGUGUUUUCCCCUCAAAUUAGAUGUAACAGAAUCAUUAAAUGUAUGGAAACAACAUUUGAAUUCUUUUUUGUUUCAUUUGUUCACAGGUAAGUAAAUCAGGAUUCCAAUAUAUAGGAAUUUAUCUAUAAUCUCAAUGUAUCAAAGAUAUCAGAGAUAGGCUCCUUUAUUUGACUGUUGAAUGUCAUUGUUUUUACCGUCCUUCAUAUCUCCCGCCAUUUUGUUUGCUUAUUUUUGAUCGGGUUUGACAUACAGAAAAUAAAAUUUGAACAAAGUUGAAGUGAUUUCCGGAUUUUGUUUAGUCAACGAUGUCAGCGACUUUUAUUUUGUAAUCGAUUAGUAGCAUCGUAGGUCUCUGAACGACCGAUAAUCGAUCAUCGGCGACAAUCGUUUCAUCACUAAUUGGUACUAUGUCAUUGCGCCAUCUCCAAAGUUCAUGAAACUUACAAUUGUCAAUAUUCAAAACAUGCUACCUAAUUGUAGAAUAAUAUGGUCUCAAAUCCUUCCCAGAAAAUAUUAUAGACAUAUGUUUUCACGUGAAGCUGCUGAAAAAGCACGGGCUCGAAUAAACACUUCCCUGUCAAAUUUCAUUUUGGCAAGAAAUGCAGGUUAUAUUAAUUACCCAGACUUAAAGCAAUGUACACUAAAAUUGUUUCCAGAUGGUACCCAUUUGUCUGAUGUAGCACAAACUCUAUUUUUGAAUGGCAUACAGGGUGGCUUGUACGUAUUAUUUGUAAAAACGUCCAGAUUUACCCACCCCCUUUGUAAUGCAGUUUUGUCGUGGCAUGGGCAAAAUUUGCCCGCUUUUGGCGGAUGUCUUCAUGCAUCUUUGCUACUGCUGCAGUUGCAUGUCGACAUAUGGCCGAAUUUUGCUUGAAGCGCCGCUGCAGGUUCUGUUAUCUUCCAGGGUCUGCGGCCAAUAAUUGUGCUUCCGUCAUUGUUUCAUUGUCAUUGAACAUUCUACAUCAUAUACUAUUGAUAAAGUCGAUGUAGACCAUUGUGUGUGAACUCGUUAAUGAUCAUUGAUAUUUGCGUCUCAACUGCAUGUUGACAAUUUUAUUCCUAUACAGUAUUGAACCAUUGAACAGUCAUUGAUCAUUGUAUAUAUUCAUUGCAUUGUACCACUGAACAGUCAUUGAUACUUGUAUGCAUUGUAUUAUUAUUAUUUUCUCAAUUUAUCUCAAAGUAAAGCCAUGACAAAAACUGCCAAAACAUUGUUGCUUUAUUCUAUCGAAAUAAUCCGACUUAACUCGCUUAUGAGUUAAGUCGUGUUAUUGAGAUGAAUUGAGCAAGACCAAGAAGGAUAACUCGUAGGCAUUCCUAUUAGUUUCGCUUCGGUAAAUGUCGUCACUUUCCGCAACCCUGGUUGCCACGAAGCAUGCGCAAAACCUCCAUCCUUUUGGAAAAUUCUAGAACAACGUAGAACAAGCAAUCCCUCCCUCCCACCCAAUUUUACUAUAAUUGCAGUUUUUGAAUAAUUUUCACGUAUUUAUCUUUUGGUUUGUUUCUGCUGUUUCCUUUUAUAUUUUUUAGGAUGAUGUUCAACUCCUGUACCAUGUUAACGACAUCGAAGUCCCAAGUUAUGGCUUUACUCAUUGUGCUGUUUGGCGGUGUCUGCCGAAUUUUGCUUGAAGCGCCGCUGCAGGUUCUGUUAUCUUCCAGGGUCUGCGGCCAAUAAUUGUGCUUCCGUCAUUGUUUCAUUGUCAUUGAACAUUCUACAUCAUAUACUAUUGAUAAAGUCGAUGUAGACCAUUGUGUGUGAACUCGUUGAUGAUCAUUGAUAUUUGCGUCUCAACUGCAUGUUGACAAUUUUAUUCCUAUACAGUAUUGAACCAUUGAACAGUCAUUGAUCAUUGUAUAUAUUCAUUGCAUUGUACCACUGAACAGUCAUUGAUACUUGUAUGCAUUGUAUUAUUAUUAUUUUCUCAAUUUAUCUCAAAGUAAAGCCAUGACAAAAACUGCCAAAACAUUGUUGCUUUAUUCUAUCGAAAUAAUCGCUGAACUUAAGAAAGGGAAUUCUGUUGGGGGUUUCCCAUUCAUACACGCAGUAAAUAAUUUCUCAAACGGGUGACUAAAUUUAGGUCAGGGUCGAAUAUGUCACAAGAGUGGGGAUAUAAACUGAAAUGGAAAUUCCAGAAAGGUACUAUUCGUGACUGACGUGGGUUUUACCCCGUGUAGGACAAACGACUAACUAAUAUAUGUGAUAAGAGCUCUAUUUGUCCUGCAUAAUUAACACUUGUGCUAAUGUUUCAAAAUUAAGCUAGUUUUUCGUGAUAUAAAAUAUCUAUUUUUCACAGUUUUACUUUUAGGAGACAUGAAGCGCAGAUUUAAAAAGAAAUAUCGACACAGGCUAAUACGUUACAAUCUUAUACAAAUCUGCAUUUAUACGUGAAAAUCUUGAUUUAUAUUUGAUGAUUAUGUUAUUAAUAUGUGAAAUCUUGAUUUAUAUUCGAUAAAUCGUGAUGUAUACUAUAGUAUUCAAUAAUCUUGUUAUUUAUAUGCGAAAAUGUUAAUGUAUAUUCGAGACAUCUUGAUUUAUAUUCGAUAAAUCUAAAUUUUUAUUCAAUAAACCUAUGUAUAUUCAAUAAAUAUUGAUGCAUAUUCGAUAUAUCUUGAUUUAUAUACGAUAAAUCUUGAUUUAUAUUCAAUUAACCGAUGUAUAUUCAAUAAAUCUUAAUGUAUAUUCAAUGAAUUUCGUUAUAUAUUCGAUAA